CUUUUUUAACGUAUUUAAGUUAUUUAUAAAACAACGCUCAUUCAACGUUACAUAUACCAACGUUGAAAGUGUAGUAAUUAAAAAACGUUGAAAAAGUGUUACUUUGCCAACGUUAAUAAAACGUUGUUUUGACAAUGUUGAGGAAGUGGCACAUUAAAAAUUAUUGUCUCAAUAACUAGCCAUUACAAAAAUAGUUUGCCGUAAUAGAAAGGCAAGGAAAACUUAAUAGAAUGCAUGCAUAUGGGUUGAAGCAGAGGCAUUUAUUCCAUCUUGUUAGGUGAAAGAUGGAUGUUUAUUUUGUCCAACUGGUGUUCAUGCAAUGAAAACUGCCUAUAAUCAUUUUCCAAUCGAUGAUUUCUGCAACAAGCUCAGACUUAAAAGAGUUAAGGUAACUGGAGGUCAUUAAAUUUUACAAUACUGAUUGCUAAUUUAACUGUUUUAUAUGAUUAAAAAAACUAUUACAGUUUUAUAUUAACGUUGAAGUACUAUACCAAAAAAAACUAGUUUUUUUUUUCCAAUAAGUAAUAUUUUGAAUCUGUUUAUGGUAUUAUUAUUGCCUAGAUAUAUAUUGUAAUCUUUUUACACUUAUUAUACAUUUUAGUUUUUACAUAUUUUUGUUUAUAUUUAUUUUACUAAAUAAUUACUAAUAGAUAAAGAAGUAUGCGAAGGAUUUAAUUUCCCAACUACAGAGUACUCCAAAAAAUAUUCUGUAUCUAAAUGAUAUCCUGACCUAUCGAAUCGAUAUCCUGGUAAUCCACUCACACACAUAAAUCUUUAAAAAUAUGUUUAUAUUUUUAUCUAUA